rnacentral:rRNA from 1 species
UACGUAGGGCGCAAGCGUUAUCCGGAAUUAUUGGGCGUAAAGAGCUCGUAGGCGGUUUGUCGCGUCUGCCGUGAAAGUCCGGGGCUCAACUCCGGAUCUGCGGUGGGUACGGGCAGACUAGAGUGAUGUAGGGGGAGACUGGAAUUCCUGGUGUAGCGGUGAAAUGCGCAGAUAUCAGGAGGAACACCGGUGGCGAAGGCGGUUCUCUGGGCAUUACCUGACGCUGAGGAGCGAAAGUGUGGGGAGCGAACAGG